GGCUGAAAUUACGCCUUCCAUGAAGCUGGAAUUGCUGUAAUGGCAGGUCAGCAUACUGCCGUGAAUACGUUCCCGGGCCCUUGUACACACCGCCCGUCACACCAUGGGAGUUUGUAACACCCAAAGUCAGUAUCCUAACCGCAAGGGGGGAGCUGCCGAAGGUGGGAUAAGCGACUGGGGUGAAGUCGUAACAAGGUAAC
rnacentral:rRNA from 1 species